UACGUAGGCGGAAUAUUAAGUCAGUGGUGAAAUCCUGCAGCUUAACUGUAGAAUUGCCAUUGAUACUGAUCUUCUUGAAUUUAGUUGAGGUGGGCGGAAUGUGUAAUGUAGCGGUGAAAUGCUUAGAUAUUACACAGAACACCGAUUGCGAAGGCAGCUCACUAAACUAACAUUGACGCUAAGGUACGAAAGCGUGGGGAGCAAACAGGAUUAGAUACCCUGGUAGUCC
rnacentral:rRNA from 1 species